rnacentral:tRNA from 1 species
AAUGAGGUGCCUGAAUAAAGGAUUAUUUUGAUAGAAUAAAUUACGUAGAAAAUCUACCUUCAUUA